CAGUCGCCGCGGUAAUACGUAGGGUGCGAGCGUUAAUCGGAAUUACUGGGCGUAAAGCGGGCGCAGACGGUUACUUAAGCAGGAUGUGAAAUCCCCGGGCUCAACCUGGGAACUGCGUUCUGAACUGGGUAACUAGAGUGUGUCAGAGGGAGGUAGAAUUCCACGUGUAGCAGUGAAAUGCGUAGAGAUGUGGAGGAAUACCGAUGGCGAAGGCAGCCUCCUGGGAUAACACUGACGUUCAUGCCCGAAAGCGUGGGUAGCAAACAGGAUUAGAUACCCGCGUAGUCCCUGUCUCUUAUAC
rnacentral:rRNA from 1 species